UGGCAGCGCCCAUGCUCCUGCAGGGGGCUAGCUAGAGAGAAAACGACGAGAUAGCUAGCUAGCCAUGCAUGCAUCUUCACCUGAUUAAACUAACCCCAUCACUCUUCUGCCUGCGUGUGUGCUGUGCAAAGCCGGCUAUAAAAUCACUUGCAACUCCAGUGCGAGAGCCCUUGGGCGACCAGAGAGGGAGAGGUUCCGGCCUGCUACCUCCUGGUCUCCUCUCUUCUAUCCAAGUUUGAGAAGGCCAGAGAUAUAUGCAUGCUUGCUUGUAUCAUGUGAGUUCAUGCGCAAGCAUGGAUAUCUAGCUCUAUUACUGCAUGCAUUGGUGUUAAUUAGUAGGUGCAUGCAUGGCAUCCUCGUCAAUCCUGAUUGAUGUUUUGAACAACUGGUUAUGUCUUUCACUUCAUGCACGCGUGCGCAAAUGAUGUAUAUAGGUUUCAGGAGAUGAAGUGCUCACUACUGCUCGGGCAGGUAGCUAGCAGUGUCGGCUGGAGCCAUGUACAUUGCUGAUAGAGGCCGGCGAGCGGCAUUGUUGCCGGCUGGAGAGAGGCUGGCCUUCACGCGGUGAACCAAGCUAGGAUAGAAGAACAAAAAAUGGGUCAUGUGGCAAGCAGCUUCUGUUUAUUUAUUUUUCGUUUGUUCAUGCUGUUUGAUUGUUCUCUACUUAAUUUGUACGGUUGUACCCAGCUCCUUACGUAGUUGCAGGCAUUAACUACGUACUCUGCGGUGUUGAAAUCUAUGGAACUUCGUUUACGAGCCGAGCUUCAUAA